GUCCCUGUAGUAUAUUACAUUACACUGGUCUUGUAAGCCAGAAAAGGGAAUAACUCCCCCAUGGACCUC
rnacentral:tRNA from 1 species